rnacentral:rRNA from 1 species
GUGCCAGCAGCCGCGGUAAUACGGAGGGUGCAAGCGUUAUCCGGAUUUACUGGGUUUAAAGGGUGCGUAGGCGGACUUUUAAGUCAAAUGUGAAAGCUUGCAGCUUAACUGUAAGAUUGCGUUUGAUACUGGAAGUCUUGAAUAUGGUAGAAGUGGGCGGAAUAAAUCAUGUAGCGGUGAAAUGCUUAGAUAUGAUUUAGAACACCGAUUGCGAAGGCAGCUCGCUAUGUCAUAAUUGACGCUGAGGCACGAAAGCGUGGGGAUCAAACAGGAUUAGAUACCCUGGUAGUCCACGCCCUAAACGAUGAGUGCCAGGUGUCGGGAAGCUUAGCUUCUCGGCGCCGCAGCUAACGCCUUAAGCACUCCGCCUGGGGAGUACGGCCGCAAGGUUAAA